GACGAACGCUGGCGGCGUGCUUAACACAUGCAAGUCGAACGGAAAGGCCCUGCUUUUGUGGGGUGCUCGAGUGGCGAACGGGUGAGUAACACGUGAGUAACCUGCCCUUGACUUUGGGAUAACUUCAGGAAACUGGGGCUAAUACCGGAUAGGAGCUCCUGCUGCAUGGUGGGGGUUGGAAAGUUUCGGCGGUUGGGGAUGGACUCGCGGCUUCUCAGCUUGUUGGUGGGGUAGUGGCUUACCAAGGCUUUGACGGGUAGCCGGCCUGAGAGGGUGACCGGCCACAUUGGGACGGAGACACGGCCGAGACGGAUACGGGAGGCAAGAGGAGAGAAUAGUGCAAAAUGGGCGGAAGCCUGAUGAAGCAACUCCGCGUGCGGGAUGACGGACUUCUGGUUGGAAACCGCUUUCGGCAGUGACGAAGCGUGAGUGACGGUAAUGGGUAAAGAAGCACCGGCUAACUACGUG
rnacentral:rRNA from 1 species